rnacentral:rRNA from 1 species
CAUGUAGGCGGAUUAAUAAGUUUGAAGUGAAAUCCUAUAGCUUAACUAUAGAACUGCUUUGAAAACUGUUAAUCUAGAAUGUGGGAGAGGUAGAUGGAAUUUCUGGUGUAGGGGUAAAAUCCGUAAAGAUCAGAAGGAAUACCGAUUGCGAAGGCGAUCUACUGGAGCAUUAUUGACGCUGAGGAGCGAAAGCGUGGGGAGCGAACA